rfam:Daphnia pulex DAPPTscaffold_37_Cont2116, whole genome shotgun sequence.
AAAACGGCCCUUUUUAGGGCCACCAAACAAAUAGAUAAAAGAGUUC